UGAGUACGAGAUGCUACGGCAUCGAAGCAGUCUAUGUCAUACUUCCAAGAAAAGCUUGCACUGUCAGAAACAGAUAAUGCCUGUACCAUAACCGACACAGGUGGGUAGGUAGAGUAUACUAAGGGGCGCGAGAUAACUCUCUCUAAGGAACUCGGCAAAAUGACUCCGUAACUUCGGGAGAAGGAGUGCCUUAUUUUUAAGGUUGCAAUAACAAGAUCCAAGCAACUGUUUACCAAAAACACAGGUCUCCGCUAAGUCGUAAGACGAUGUAUGGGGGCUGACGCCUGCCCAGUGCCAGAAGGUUAAAGAAGUCGGUUAGCAUUCGCGAAGCUGGUAACUGAAGCCCUGGUGAACGGCGGCCGUAACGAUAACGGUCCUAAGGUAGCGAAAUUCCUUGUCGGGUAAGUUCCGACCCGCACGAAAGGCGUAAUGAUUUGGAUACUGUCUCGGAGAGGGGCUCGGUGAAAUAGACUUGUCUGUGAAGAUGCGGACUACCUGCACCUGGACAGAAAGACCCUAUGAAGCUUUACUGUAACUUGAAAUUGAAAUUGGACUUUAUUUGCGCAGUAUAGGUGGGAGGCGUUGAAAAUAUUCUUGCGGGAAUAUUGGAGCCAUCAGUGAGAUACCACUCUUGUAAUGUUAGAUUUCUAACCUUAUAUCAUUAUCUGGUUAAAGAACAGUUUCAGGCGGGCAGUUUGACUGGGGCGGUCGCCUCCCAAAUGGUAACGGAGGCGCACAAAGGUUUCCUCUGAACGGGUAGAAAUCGUAUCUAGAGUGUAAAGGCAUAAGGAAGCUUGACUGUGAGACCUACAAGUCGAGCAGGGACGAAAGUCGGUCUUAGUGAUCUGACGGUGCUGAGUGGAAAGGCCGUCACUCAACGGAUAAAAGUUACUCUAAGGAUAACAGGCUGAUCUCCCCCAAGAGUUCACAUCGACGGGGAGGUUUGGCACCUCGAUGUCGGCUCAUCGCAUCCUGGGGCGGUAGUACGUCCCAAGGGUUGGGCUGUUCGCCCAUGAAAGCGGUACGCGAGCUGGGUUCAGAACGUCGUGAGACAGUUCGGUCCAUAUCCGGUGUAGGCGUUAGAAUAUUGAGAGGAGCCUUCUUUAGUACGAGAGGACCGAGAAGGACAUACCUCUGGUGUACCAGUUAUCGUGCCAACGGUAAACGCUGGGUAGCUAUGUAUGGAGUGGAUAACCGCUGAAAGCAUCUAAGUGGGAAGCCCACCUCAAGAUAAG
rnacentral:rRNA from 1 species